rnacentral:rRNA from 1 species
UACGUAGGGCGCAAGCGUUAUCCGGAAUUAUUGGGCGUAAAGAGCUCGUAGGCGGUUUGUCGCGUCUGCCGUGAAAGUCCGGGGCUCAACUCCGGAUCUGCGGUGGGUACGGGCAGACUAGAGUGAUGUAGGGGAGACUGGAAUUCCUGGUGUAGCGGUGAAAUGCGCAGAUAUCAGGAGGAACACCGAUGGCGAAGGCAGGUCACUGGGCCGCAACUGACGCUGAGGAGCGAAAGUGUGGGGAGCGAACAGG